rnacentral:rRNA from 1 species
UACGGAGGGAGCUAGCGUUGUUCGGAAUUACUGGGCGUAAAGCGCACGUAGGCGGCUAUUCGAGUCGGGGGUGAAAGCCCGGGGCUCAACCCCGGAACUGCCCUCGAAACUAGAUAGCUAGAAUCUUGGAGAGGCGAGUGGAAUUCCGAGUGUAGAGGUGAAAUUCGUAGAUAUUCGGAAGAACACCAGUGGCGAAGGCGACUCGCUGGACAAGUAUUGACGCUGAGGUGCGAAAGCGUGGGGAGCAAACAGG